ACAGGCAGGGAAGUGUCCACCUUAGAAAGCCUUCGAGAACUUUUCUCCCCAGGACUUCAGGGAGACCAUACUGUAAUAACAAGAUCCAGGUUUUAUGUUUUUAACAACACGGUGACAGGAAAAAGUCUUUCUGGCAUCUCAGCCUGACGUAGGGUGGCUUCCUGGCACCCAGAGCCUCUUAUGCUGAAGGCAAAGCAGGAGCCCAAAGCGAGAUCCAGCGACCCAAGAGAGACUUCAGGCAAAGAUACGCAGAUACGCGUUGGGAAGCUGGCCGUCAUGCACCGAAGCGGAAACGUGACAGGUUCAGGAAAUCUCCGACCUAGGAGUCACCGCUCAUCCAGGGGUCUGUGAAGAAGGAAGAAGACUCAGCACCCUCUUCCAGUUCAUGGAGAGAUGUGGAAAGCUGAGUAAUAUUUGCCAAAGGAUAAGUGCCUCCUAUUCAUUCUAUUCUAACGUAAGCUCCUGAGAACCAAACUGUAAAACUCUGUCACAAGUGAAAAUGAAAAGAGUAAAAACAUGAUAGAAAUCCAAAUCCACACCA